rnacentral:rRNA from 1 species
CAGCCGCCCGGUAAUACGAAGGGUGCAAGCGUUACUCGGAAUUACUGGGCGUAAAGCGUGCGUAGGUGGUGGUUUAAGUCCGUUGUGAAAGCCCUGGGCUCAACCUGGGAAUUGCAGUGGAUACUGGGUCACUAGAGUGUGGUAGAGGAUAGUGGAAUUUCCGGUGUAGCAGUGAAAUGCGUAGAGAUCGGAAGGAACAUCUGUGGCGAAGGCGACUAUCUGGGCCAACACUGACACUGAGGCACGAAAGCGUGGGGAGCAAACAGGAUUAGAUACCCGAGUAGUCCCUGUCUCUUAUACA